GGUGGUAAACAACUCUGACAGCCCAGGCUCGCCGUCGGGAGGAGCGGGGAGGGGGGUGGGACCACGGUGAUCCGACAGCCAAUGAAAGGCCUCGCCGGAACUUUCUGCCAAUCACAUUUACGAGAUGCGGAGGGGCGCCUCGCUCCGCUUCAAUCUUAAUCGAGUGUGUCUACGCUGUGUGUGGGGCAGCCUGUGGUAGAGAAACCGACAUUGACUCAAUACCACCGUUACCGGGUUUGCGGGAGCAUCAACUGAGGUCAGCAGCAAAAAAUGACAAGUUUCUAUACUUCGGAUAUUGAUUUCGAGCCCGUUCAAGAAAUAUUCUCUGUUAUUCUUGCACCUUGCAGCAUGCCUGGUGCAAAUGAAGGAGUAGAACAGGAGUGCAACAAAGCAUGAAGCGUGCCAUGGCCAGCCUUCUCGGUUCUUUUCCACAUUCAAGUCUCUGACAGAGCUUGAUGGGUCUGUUGCUAGCCCAAGAUCCAGUGGUAUGCAAAGGUGAAUUUACAGCUAAAAUCAUCCAGGUAACAAUGCCGAGAAUAGAAUAUUCUGCUCGGAUGGAAUCUACCAAAGAUCAGCCUUACAGAAAAGAAAGGGUGAGCCCUCAUAUGAAUACUGCAAAAGCCUUUUCUCCAAGAGUUCUGUUUGCAGUAGGAUCACCUCAACAUCCCAGAGCCCUUCUAGCCAAACCCCAAAAGCCACAUUAAAACAGGCAGACUUUCAAUCUCCCAGAAGUUGAUAUGCCAAGAGUUUUCCUUUAGCUUUACCCAUAUUAACAGAAGGUGUUAUGUUACAUGUUCAGGGCUGCAAUCAAGGCUUCUUUCUCACCAUGCAUGCUUCUCACAUGACAUCCGUCCGCAAGUACCUCUUCAUAUGGCACGUGUGUAUCCAGGCACCAGCUGAGGCUGUGGGCACGUGAAAAGGAUCCGGCUGUGGGCUGCCAGGCCAAUGAACUGACAGGCCUGUGGAAGUGAUGCUGUAUGCCAGAGGAGUCAUUCAUUGGGCUGAACUCAGGCACGCCAGGAUGAGUGAUUGCAUAUAGCCGGAGCACCAGUCAUUUGGUCUGAAGUGAACUUGCUCUUUUGGCCUCACACGUAUCAAAAAGAAUCAGCUGGGAAGCUGCAAAACCCCGGGGUCCACAAGCACAGCAUUUUCUCACCCCAGUGAAGUUUGUGUUCAUCUGUCUGCUUUAAUGUUAUUUGUCAUGACUGUUGUUUUUUUAUCUCCUGAGAAGAACAGAUGUAGAAAUUUCUUUUGCAUGUACCAACAAAUGAAUCUUAUAGACAUCCCAGAAAGUCUGUAAACAGAGAUACAGAGGGUCACACUCCAGAAUAUUCCACAUUCAUGUUUGCACGUACACGUCAUGUAAAACACUCAGCUCCUCAGUACAACCUCCCUUAAUAACAUUUUUCAGAAGGUUCUUGCAGUUAAAGCAAGUGAAUUUGUUUGUAACAUAUCUUUCAGUAUUUUUCAGCCCAGGAAAAAAGAAAGCCUAGAGCAAAUCCACACUUCUUGUCUUCCUUUCUGGAGAAAAACAUGCACCAUAUUUUUGCGCCUUUCUCUCCUUGCUUGUUCAGGAAGGAAGAAUAAACAUUAAUAAACCGAGUACUAUGUACCAUGCUCAGA